rnacentral:rRNA from 2 species
UCGUUGGAGAGUUUGAUCCUGGCUCAGGACGAACGCUGGCGGCGUGCCUAAUGCAUGCAAGUCGAGCGACGCGCACCUUCGGGUGUGACGGAGCGGCGAACGGGUGAGUAACACGUGAGCAACCUGCCCUGAAGACCGGAAUAGCCCGGGGAAACCCGGAGUAAUGCCGGAUACACUCCCGAUACCGCAUGGUAUGGGAGAAAAUGCUUUAGCGCUUCAGGAUGGGCUCACGGCCUAUCAGCUAGUUGGUGAGGUAACGGCUCACCAAGGCGACGACGGGUAGCUGGUCUGAGAGGACGAUCAGCCACACUGGGACUGAGACACGGC